rnacentral:rRNA from 1 species
GGAGCUUUAAACCCAACGACACCCAUUUUCUUUAUACCCUAGUAUUCAUUUGGCUAUGUUUGAUUGGUUUUAGGUUGGGGUGACCACGGAGCAUAAAAUAACCUCCACGAAGAAGAGACUAAUAAUCUUUAUCAAAGAAGUACACUUCUAAGAAUUAACAAAUUAAUUUCCAAUGAUCCGAUAUUCGAUCAACGAACCAAGUUACCCUGGGGAUAACAGCGCAAUCCACCUCAAGAGCUCCUAUCGACAGGUGGGUUUACGACCUCGAUGUUGGAUCAGGAUAUCCCAGUGGUGUAGCAGCUACUAAAGGUUCGUUUGUUCAACGAUUAA